GGGGAGAUAGCUCAAGCAGUAGAGCUCAGGCUUGGCAUGCAUGAGGUCCUGGGUUCAAGCCCCAGUACCUCCU
rnacentral:tRNA from 1 species